rfam:Herbinix sp. SD1D isolate SD1D genome assembly, chromosome: I
AGCAGAGUAGGAUUAUGUGCGUUAAGUGCCGGUUGAACGGGGAGUUGUCAGCCGGACGAAAAGGAAACUUGCGGUACAUAGUUCGCAUCCCGCUGCU